CAGCCACUGUUUAAAAGUAAACACACCACACAUCAACUUGGGGCAGCUUUGUAAGCAGCUUCGCAAGCCCUGAAAUUUCUGGCUGGUAGGGAUGCCAGCUAAACCAGAUGGCAUCAAACAGUGAAAUACGGGCCUGGCUUUCAGACUUGAUGAUACACCCACUGAAGACUCCAUUCCUUUGGUCUUUCCAGAAUUAGACCAGCAGCUACAGCCCCUGCCACCUUGUCAUGACUCUGAGGAAUCCAUGGAGGUGUUCAAACAGCACUGCCAAAUAGCAGAAGAAUACCAUGAGGUCAAAAAGGAAAUCACCCUGCUUGAGCAAAGGAAGAAGGAGCUCAUUGCCAAGUUAGAUCAGGCAGAAAAGGAGAAGGUGGAUGCUGCUGAGCUGGUUCGGGAAUUCGAGGCUCUGACGGAGGAGAAUCGGACGUUGAGGUUGGCCCAGUCUCAAUGUGUGGAACAACUGGAGAAACUUCGAAUACAGUAUCAGAAGAGGCAGGGCUCGUCCUAACUUUAAAUUUUUCAGUGUGAGCAUACGAGGUUGAUGACUGCCCUGUGCUGGCCAAAAUAUUUUUAUUUUAAACGAAUAGUGAGUCAGAUCUAUUGCUUCUCUGUAUUACCCACAUGACAACUGUCUAUAAUGAGUUUACUGCUUGCCAGCUUCUAGCUUGAGAGAAGGGAUAUUUUAAAUGAGAUCAUUAACGUGAAACUAUUACUAGUAUAUGUUUUUGGAGAUCAGAAUUCUUUUCCAAAGAUAUAUGUUUUUUUCUUUUUUAUCAUGCUGUACAACAGGGUAGAAAAUGAUAAAAAUAGACUAUUGACUGACC
rnacentral:sRNA from 1 species